rnacentral:rRNA from 1 species
UACAGAGGUCUCAAGCGUUUGUUCGGAUUUAUUGGGCGUAAAGGGCGCGUAGGCGGCGGGGUAAGUCGGGUGUGAAAAUCUCAGGGGCUCAACCCCUGAAACUGCACUUUGAUACUGCUCUGCUUGAGGACUGGAGAGGAGACUGGAAUUCACGGUGUAGCAGUGAAAUGCGUAGAUAUCGUGAGGAAGACCAGUGGCGAAAGGCGGGGUCUCUGGACAGUUCCUGACGCUGAGG